rnacentral:lncRNA from 1 species
GGGAGAGGCAAACAUAGGGAAGGAAGACCCAAGAAGGGGAGUCCCUUUGCAGUGAUCCAGGAGAACCAUGAUAAGGCCACCGAGGGCAAGGCAACCAUCAGCAGCAGACCCACUGUGGAGUCUCCUGGGAAAGUGUGAACAUGACAGUAAACAGCUUACAUCAAAGACAUUUCAAUUCUGCAACAAGCCUUUCUGCUUCGGGUAAGUGAUAUACACCCAAACAAAACAUUAAUCGGAAGACCCAUUUCGUCUCCCUUGGGGAAUUGGAGCUAUAGGCAGAAUAAUCCUGCUGUCUAAGUGUGAUUUUGAACAUUAAAAUGAGUUCCUUUUAGGAAAUCUAGAGGCUGAGAGAAGCACUGCAAAUUGAGUAGGGAUUUCAUGACAAUAAAAAAAAAAGUCUUGCUGCA